GAUAUUAUUCAUAUGAUUCCCACCACCACAAAACUAUUAUCAUCCCUAAAAAAAAGAAACAGAAUUCACUUCUUAAGACUUCCACGGAUACCAGGUUUAGGCUUGGUGCUUGAUUCAGCAACACCAGUUGAAUGAAGAUUGUUGAGUUUUGCCUCAUCAAAAGCAAGUUUUGGGUGUUUUGCAUCAUGAUGGAUCUUCAUAGACUUGAUAUCAGGUGCAGUCACUUUGCAAAGAGGACAUUCAAGCUUCGCAUGUCCACCUUUUUCAAUACCAGA
rnacentral:lncRNA from 1 species